GACGAACGCUGGCGGCGUGCUUAACACAUGCAAGUCGAACGGAAAGGCCCUGCUUUUGUGGGGUGCUCGAGUGGCGAACGGGUGAGUAACACGUGAGUAACCUGCCCUUGACUUUGGGAUAACUUCAGGAAACUGGGGCUAAUACCGGAUAGGAGCUCCUGCUGCAUGGUGGGGGUUGGAAAGUUUCGGCGGUUGGGGAUGGACUCGCGGCUUAUCAGCUUGUUGGUGGGGUAGUGGCUUACCAAGGCUUUGACGGGUAGCCGGCCUGAGAGGGUGACCGGCCCCAUUGGGCCUGGGAUACGGCCAGACUCCUACGGGAGGCAGCAGUGGGGAAUAUUGCACAAUGGGCGGAAGCCUGAUGCAGCAACGCCGCGUGCGGGAUGACGGCCUUCGGGUUGUAAACCGCUUUCGCCUGUGACGAAGCGUGAGUGACGGUAAUGGGUAAAGAAGCACCGGCUAACUACGUG
rnacentral:rRNA from 1 species